UGCACGGUGGUGCAGGAGGUAGCAUUGCUGCUUCACAGCUCCAGGAGCCCAGGUUCGAUCCCUGGUUGUGUAG